GUUUUUUUGGCCUAACAAUCUGUAUAUAAGCACAGAAUUUGGAUAGUGCCAUCAUUGUAAAGUUCUUCCAACACCAAAGAGCAAACGAUUAUAAUCUGUUAUCGAGAUGAAAUACAUCAUCGUUGUCCUCAUCACCUUGGCAAGAUUUUGCAAUACAACUGCACAGGAUCUUUGCGAUCCCGGUGACCAAGAGCCUCCAUGUGACUGUACUGGAAUAGGCGAGGCUGUCUGGACUGGAACCGCCGAAGUUUGUGAAUUCAGGUGCAUCAGAGACGAGAUGCUCUUUACUUGCGAAGAAGUGGCAGCAGCGAUUUAAAUAGAAAACGCUGUACCGGCUCAGCACUGUUUGAUUGUAUUAAAUUUUAAAUGAGAAGGUACACCGCA